AUAUGGGCCAAACAAUAAUCGACUCAAAGGAAUGUGAGUCUUUAAAGAUAAUGACUGCUGAGUAUGUAAAUGAAUGUGGCCUGAAUUGAAGGAUUGGUGAGGAGCAGUACUACAAAACAAUGGGCGAUGGCUGGUUUCAGCUCACUGGCAGUCCUCUCGAUCUAACAAAUCUCCUGCAGGGUCUGCGGACAGAGCACAAGAACAAAUUGUGGCGGGGCUAUGGAGACAAAUAAGAAAUGGCAAGAUUAGCACAUUUAUAGUGAGUGAAUCCAAUCAUUGUGAUGGCUGGUGAUGCGAGUGAGCCACUCCCCAUGGGCAGCACACUGGCACUCUGAGUCACUGCAACAAUGCACAUUUGCAUUCUCGCUUCUCUCUUUGCUUUGCCAGCACUUUAUAAAAUUCACUCACACAUCAGAGGGCUCAAGAUUUGUUUAAUCUUGUUGAUCUUGCUUUCCACAGAGCAAAAUUCAGCUGGAAUGCAAUUUUAU